AAUCAAACUUGCCUUUCUUUUUCUGUGUAGUCAGGGAUGGAAUGUGCAGAUGUGAAGUGUCUCGCAUGGUUGCGUUCGUUUUUUCGAUCGAGAAUCUGUCGAGUCCUUUUAAAUGGACACGGUCUUUUCUAUGGUUUCUAUGAAGUGUAAUGGUUGGAAGGCAGUGAUUUUCGGAUUGCUGGCGGCUUUUGGCGACUUCGGUAUGAACGUAUGGAGACUAGCUCAAUUCGUGGUAUGUUAGGCUUCGGCUCGACAAUGUUGCGUAAUUGUGUGUGGUCUUUGUUUGUGCCUUGAGGUGUACUAGAGGUUGUCGGUUUGAACCGUAAGUGAUUGUUUAGUAGAGCAUUUUCACGAUGUAUGGAGACGCUGCAUUUAGUUGCGUAGAGAGAUUGAUUUGGGAAAUUUUGUACCAUGUCAGGAGCAACGAUUUCUGAAUGGCAUCUCAA
rnacentral:rRNA from 1 species